rnacentral:rRNA from 1 species
AAAUAGCAUAUCAAUAAGCGGAGGAAAAGAAACCAACAGGGAUUGCCCUAGUAACGGCGAGUGAAGCGGCAACAGCUCAAAUUUGAAAUCUGGCCUUCGGGUCCGAGUUGUAAUUUGUAGAGGAUGCUUUUGGCGCGGUGCCUUCCGAGUUUCCCUGGAACGGGACGCCUUAGAGGGUGAGAGCCCCGUACGGUUGGACACCAAGCCUCUGUAAAGCUCCUUCGACGAGUCGAGUAGUUUGGGAAUGCUGCUCUAAAUGGGAGGUAAAUUUCUUCUAAAGCUAAAUAUUGGCCAGAGACCGAUAGCGCACAAGUAGAGUGAUCGAAAGAUGAAAAGCACUUUGAAAAGAGGGUUAAAUAGCACGUGAAAUUGUUGAAAGGGAAGCGUUUGCGACCAGACCUCUUCGUAGCGGAUCAUCCGGUGUUAUCACCGGUGCACUUCGCUACGUCUAGGCCAGCAUCGGUUUCUGUAGGGGGAUAAAAGCCUUGGGAACGUAGCUCCUUCGGGAGUGUUAUAGCCCUUUGCAUAAUACCCUUACGGGGACCGAGGACCGCGCUAUAUGCAAGGAUGCUGGCAUAAUGGUCGUCAACGACCCGUCUUGAAACACGGACCAAGGAGUCGAACAUUUAUGCGAGUGUUUGGGUGUUAAACCCUCACGCGUAAUGAAAGUGAACGGAGGUGAGAGCCCUUACGGGUGCAUCAUCGACCGAUCCUGAUGUCUUCGGAUGGAUUUGAGUAAGAGCAUAACUGUUCGGACCCGAAAGAUGGUGAACUAUGCGUGGAUAGGGUGAAGCCAGAGGAAACUCUGGUGGAGGCUCGCAGCGGUUCUGACGUGCAAAUCGAUCGUCAAAUCUGCGCAUGGGGGCGAAAGACUAUCGACCAUCAGCGUG